rnacentral:lncRNA from 1 species
CCAUAGCAUCCCCUUACCACAAAACACAAAAAGCCAACAUUCCCCAUAUGAGAAUCAACUCCUUGCUACGGGUGGCCGUAACAAGGAUAGCUGACCAAAAGUCAAACUUUUUCAAAUCUUUUCAAAUCUUCUUGGGACUCACCCACCUCUCUCUUACCCAACCAUCACCAAUCAGUCAUCUUUAAAGCCCCAAAAAACUAAUUUUUAAACCUUAUUAUCAUAAACCAUUCUCUCUCUGAAACAUAUCAUCUCUUUCACUCUC